rnacentral:piRNA from 1 species
UGUACUCACUGCAGAUAUGCAAAGCCAUGGC